rnacentral:lncRNA from 1 species
AGUGAGUUUAUUCCAAGUAUCUUUUGUUUACUGCUAUGUAUUGCAAAAUAUAUUAUAGGCUUUUUUUCUUCCUUUUAAAAUUUUGCAUUGCUAAUUUUUUAGUCAAACUGUAAUAUGUUGCUAAUUUGCUAGUGUUUUUUUUUAGCAUUAUCCUUGCUGGAUCUUUUGGCUUUUGCUGUUGCUGGAAGUUUUGGAUGUUGUUGCUGGUGCUGGAUUUUUUUCUUCAAAUUAUACUGAAUGUUUAUGAUAAUUUAUUACUUGUUGCUAUUUGCUAAUGUAUUUAUUCGCUA